GACGAACGCUGGCGGCGUGCCUAAUACAUGCAAGUCGAACGAGUGGCGGACGGGUGAGUAAUGUCUGGGACACUGCCUGAUGGCUGGGGAUAACUACUGGAAACGGUAGCUAAUCCCGCAUACCAUCAGAUGUGCCCAGAUGGGAUUAGCUUGUUGGGGGGGUAACGGCUCACCAAGGCCACGAUCCCUAGCUGGUCUGAGAGGAUGACCAGCCACACUGGAACUGAGACACGGUCCAGACUCCUACGGGAGGCAGCAGUGGGGAAUAUUGCACAAUGGGCGCAAGCCUGAUGCAGCCAUGCCGCGUGUAUGAAGAAGGCCUUCGGGUUGUAAAGUACUUUCAGCGGGGAGGCGUUACCCGCAGAAGAAGCACCGGCUAACUCCGUGCCAGCAGCCGCGGUAAUAC
rnacentral:rRNA from 1 species